rnacentral:tRNA from 1 species
AGCAGCAUGGCUCGGUGGAAAGAGCCCGGGCUUGGGAGCCCGAGGUCACAGGUUCGAAUCCUGUCUCCGCCA